UGCAUUCUAUCACCGGAAAAAUGGAAUAAGGUGCUGACAUACGGACAAACCUGGCGGGCGCUAAAAACAUGAUGCUGAGGGACAAGGAAGCCAGACGGAAGGUCGCACAUUAUGGGAUUCUGUUUACAGAAAAUGUCCAGAAUAGGUGACUAUGGGAACAAAAAGCCCAUUCACUGUUGCCAAGGGGCUGGAGGAGGGUGGGGACUGCCAAAUGGGUAUGGGGCUCCCCUUUUGGGGAGUAGUGUCCUGACCAGGAAAGAGGGUAGAUGCAUGCCACUGUGAAUGCACUAAAUGCCACCAAGUUGUACAGUUCAAAGAGAAGGUGCCAAGGGACUCCACACCAUCCAGCUUGGCGGAUCGUGCAUGACUCAGGUGCACCGGUGAGAAGUCCUCCCGGCAACGACACCACUCACGAGUCACACCUGCCCAACGGACAACUCACAGAAAGAUGCACCACGGGACAGUCUCGAUGGGUGGCGGACGGCAGCUAACCCACCAAAGAGCACCACCUCCCCCAGUUAACCUUCCAGUGGGGAGGGACCUGUGAGGAUCCCCUGCAGGCUUGUGAACACUGUCAGCAGUACACCCUGGGUCUCCCCACUCCCCGAACAAGGGGAUGGUGAGUGGGUCCGAUCUCAGAAAGACCUUGCAUCAGGACCACAACCGUGAUCAAGUCCAAUAAAACACUGUAGUUACACAACA